GACGAACGCUGGCGGCGUGCUUAACACAUGCAAGUCGAACGGAAAGGCCUUUUCGGAGGUACUCGAGUGGCGAACGGGUGAGUAACACGUGGGUGAUCUGCCCUGCACUCUGGGAUAAGCCUGGGAAACUGGGUCUAAUACCGGAUAGGACCGCACUUUAGUGUGUGUGGUGGAAAGUUUUUUCGGUGUAGGAUGAGCCCGCGGCCUAUCAGCUUGUUGGUGGGGUAAUGGCCUACCAAGGCGGCGACGGGUAGCCGGACUGAGAGGUUGGUCGGCCACAUUGGGACUGAGAUACGGCCCAGACUCCUACGGGAGGCAGCGGUGGGGAAUAUUGCACAAUGGGCGCAAGCCUGAUGCAGCGACGCCGCGUGGGGGAUGACGGCCUUCGGGUUGUAAACUCCGUUCGCCAGGGACGAAGCGUUUUGUGACGGUACCUGGAGAAGAAGCACCGGCUAACUACGUG
rnacentral:rRNA from 1 species